AGUGAGCUCAGUGGUAGAGUACUUGCCUUGCAUGCAUGAGGCCCUGGGUUCAAUUCCUCAGCACCA
rnacentral:tRNA from 1 species